rfam:Nelumbo nucifera unplaced genomic scaffold scaffold01740, whole genome shotgun sequence
AGGCCAUGAUGAGGAACCCUCCUUAGUAGCUCCUUGUAUCGUUCCCAGGACUCAUAGAGAGAUUCCCCCUCUUGCUGGAAAAAGGUAGUAAUAUCAUUCCUCAUUUU